CGUUUGCCUCCUGCCCUAGGAGAAACGUUCGCUCCGGAGGCUUGGGCUGCGGAGCCCGUUGUGGCCACUGAGUCCUUCGACGCCCUCGCCAGGCUGGCCUUUGGGUUGGCCCAGACAGGACGGGCUGCAGAGAGCACUUGGGCCGCGUCGCCAGGAGGCGCCCAAAGUGAGCCAUGCCCGAAGACGUCGCCCGGCGCUCUGAGGACCAGUAUGAAGUCCCAGGAAGAGUAGAGCCGCGGGAGGCCGCACGGGCCCGGCCUGCUAAGGACUGGAGGGCCAGGGAAUCCCUGAAGUCCUCGAAGUCCUCAAAGUCCUCGAAGAAGGUCGGGAAAAAAUACCGGUAUCUGAGACUACUUCCAGAGGCCUUGAUAAGGUUCGGCGGUUUCCGAAAAAGGAAAAAAGACAAGUCCUCAGUUUCCAAGAAGCCGGGAGAACUGGAUGACAGUUCGGAGCAGCCCUGUGGUUUGGGCUGUCUAGUCAGCCCCUGCUGUGAGUGUUGCAAUAACAUUUGCUGCUUCAUGGUUUUCUACUGCAUCCUCGUCUUAUGUCAAGGUGUGGUGUUUGGUCUUACAGAUGUCAGCAUUGGCAAUGUUCAGAGGGAAUAUUCUCUGAAAACCAUUGAAAAGUUGGCAUUGGAAUUGAGUUAUGAUAUUUCAUCUGGACUGGUAGUAAUGUUUAUAGCAUUCUAUGGAGACAGAAAAAAAGUAACAUGGUUUGUAGCUUCCUCCUUUCUUAUAGGACUUGGAUCACUUUUGUGUGCUCUUCCAUUCAUUAAUGAAGAAAAAAAUAAAAGUAAGGUAGGAAUUGAAGAUAUUUGCACAGAAAUAAAGGUUGUCAGUGGUUGCCAGAGCAGUGAUGCAUCGUUCCAAUCAAAAUACCUGUAUUUCAUCACCCUUGGGCAGACUAUGCAGGGAAUAGCAGGAAUGCCUCUUUAUAUCCUUGGAACAACCUUUAUUGAUGAGAACGUUGCUACACACUCAGCUGGUAUCUAUGUAGGUAUUGCAGAAUGCAUGUCAAUGAUUGGAUAUGGUAUGGGUUAUGUGAUAGGAGCACCACUAGUUAAAGUCCCUGAGAAUAGUACUUCUGCAACAAACACUACAGGCACAAAUGGUAGUACAGAAUGGCUAUGGACUUGGUGGAUUCGUUUUCUUUCUGCCGCUCUCAUUGCAUGGUUUACAUUAAUACCAUUGUCAUGCUUUCCACACAAUAUGCCAGGUUCAACACGGAUAAAAGCUGCGAAACGUAAACAGCGUCAUUGGUUUGACAGCAAACUUAAAGAUCUGCAAGUUGGAACUAGUAUCAAGGAUUUAUGUGCUGUUUUUUGGAUUCUGAUGAAAAAUCCAGUGCUAAUAUGCCUAUCUCUGUCAAAAGCUACAGAAUAUUUAGUUAUUAUUGGAGCUGCUGAAUUUUUGCCUAUAUAUUUAGAAAAUCAGUUUAUGUUAACACCCCCUGCGGCAACUAUACUUGCAGGACUUGUUUUAAUUCCAGGAGGUGCACUUGGCCAGCUUCUGGGAGGUAUCAUUGCUUCCACAUUAGAAAUGUCUUGUAAAGCCCUUAUGAGAUUUAUAAUGGCUACAUCUGUGAUAUCACUUAUACUGCUCAUGUUUAUUACUUUGGUACGCUGUAAUCCACUGCAGUUUGCUGGGAUCAAUGAAGAUUAUGAUGGAGAAGGGCAGUUGGGAAACCUCACGGCUCCUUGCAAUGAAAAAUGUAGAUGCUCAUCUUCAGUUUAUUCUUCUAUAUGUGGAAGAGAUGAUAUCGAAUACUUUUCUCCCUGCUUUGCAGGGUGUAUGUAUUCUAAAGCACUAACCCGAAAAAAGACAUACUACAAUUGUUCUUGCAUUAAAGAAGGAUUAAUAACUGCAGAUGAAGAAGGUGAUUUUAUUGAUGCCAGACGUGGGAAAUGUGAUGCAAAGUGCUAUAAAUUACCUUUGUUCGUUGCUUUUAUCUUUUCUACGCUUGUAUUUUCUGGUUUUUCUGGUGUACCAAUCGCCUUGACCAUCAUGCGGAUUGUACCUGUCCAACUGCGUUCUCUGGCCUUGGGUGUAUGCUAUGUGGUUUUGAGAAUAUUUGGGACUAUUCCUGGACCGUCAAUCUUUAAAAUGUCAGGAGAAAAUUCUUGUAUUUUCCGGGAUGUUAAUGAAUGUGGAUACACAGGACGUUGUUGGAUAUAUAACAAGACAAGAAUGGCUUACCUAUUUGUAGGAAUAUCUUUUCUCUGCAAACUAUGCACUAUCAUCUUCACUACUACUGCAUUUUUUAUGUACAAACGUCAGGUAAAUGAGAGCACUGACAUCCCAAAUAUAACUGUGAAGAAUCCAAAAGUUAAGAAAGAAAGAAACUGACUUGUAACUGGAUCAUCAUCGUGUAAGAAUUACACAUUGUCAAUCUAUCAAUGAUGCAGAUCGUUUGAGGAUCAGAGUGUGAAAAUGAGUUUCUCUUUUAAAGAUUCUCCAACAUUUGUUUCUGUGCCCAACUUUCAGAAGAGGAAAAUCACAAAUGAUGUUGACAUAAGUAGCAAAAAUGUAUUUAUGGUGAUCUGCAUUUUCAUAAUAAAGUGCUCUAUUAUGAAACAUU